CCUACGGCGGGCAGCAGUGAGGAAUAUUGGUCAAUGGACGAGAGUCUGAACCAGCCAAGUAGCGUGAAGGAUGACUGCCCUAUGGGUUGUACACUUCUUUUAUAUGGGAAUAAAACAGGGUAUGCAUACCCUCUUGUAUGUACCAUAUGAAUAAGGAUCGGCUAACUCCGUGCCAGCAGCCGCGGUAAUACGGAGGAUCCGAGCGUUAUCCGGAUUUAUUGGGUUUAAAGGGAGCGUAGGUGGGUUGUUAAGUCAGUUGUGAAAGUUUGCGGCUCAACCGUAAAAUUGCAGUUGAAACUGGCAGUCUUGAGUACAGUAGAGGUGGGCGGAAUUCGUGGUGUAGCGGUGAAAUGCUUAGAUAUCACGAAGAACUCCGAUUGCGAAGGCAGCUCACUGGACUGCAACUGACACUGAUGCUCGAAAGUGUGGGUAUCAAACAGGAUUAGAUACCCCAGUAGUC
rnacentral:rRNA from 1 species